UAUUGUAAUUAUACUAAUAAUAUUUACUCUAAUAAAUUCGGUUACAUUAUCGUCUUUGUCAUGGACAUCAACAUCCCCAUAAGGUUUACUGUAAGACCCGUAAAUUUUGGGAAUGGUGGGGACAUGGUGGGCACCACCCUUUCAUUUAUUGAGCUGCAUUAUUGAAGGGGGCAGGAGGAAGCAAUUAGAAGUCACGAGAGUUGUCUUUUUGGAAGUGGGGAGCAAGAAAACGUCCGUGAUUCUCUUGUGUUUGGCACCAUGCAAGCUUGAAAGAUAAAAGGAGGUACUGGUUUCUGAAAUGGAGAAGAAGCCUUGCUACCUUGCUGCCAUUUUUGUGAGAGAAGGAGAAGUUCAAAGCUUGGUGGAAUUGCUUGGAGCUGCAAGUUUUGGAAGAGUUAGACUCAAAGAAUUCACAAAGGAAGUCUUCAAGAGCUUGGUUUGGGCGAGCGUUGACGAGCGGGGGAUUUAUAGUGGAAAGGUGUAAUUGUGUACGUCUGUGAACGUUCGCCAUUUUCCAGAGGGAGAUGAGCGUUUGGAAGAUGCGUUAAACGAAGAGAACCUGGUUGAUGCCGAAGUGAAGAUCGAGCAGUGAGACCGCUCGACCAGCAUUGUAUUUUGUUGAACUGAGUGGUCGUUCGACCAUCUCUUGUUUUCUUUUAAGAUUAUUUCGAUCGUUCGGUAAUUGUUCUGUGUAAACCGUUCGGUCAGGUUUUUAUUUGUGCGUUCGACUUCAGAUUGUGAUUCGUGUUGUAAGGAGUACGGCUUGGCUUUUGUUUUUAGUGAAAAAC